GUAGGUGGCAAGCGUUGUCCGGAAUUAUUGGGCGUAAAGCGCGCGCAGGCGGUCCUUUAAGUCUGAUGUGAAAGCCCACGGCUCAACCGUGGAGGGUCAUUGGAAACUGGGGGACUUGAGUACAGAAGAGGAAAGCGGAAUUCCAAGUGUAGCGGUGAAAUGCGUAGAGAUUUGGAGGAGCACCAGCGGCGAAGGCGGCUUUCUGGUCUGUAACUGACGCUGAGGCGCGAAAGCGUGGGGAGCAAACAGGGAUUAGAUACCCUGGUAGUCCACGCCGUAAACGAUGAGUGCUAAGUGUUAGGGGGUUUCCGCCCCCUUAGUGCUGCAGCUAACGCAUUAAGCACUCCGCCUGGGGAGUACGGCCGCAAGGCUG
rnacentral:rRNA from 1 species